rnacentral:rRNA from 1 species
GACGAACGCUGGCGGCGUGCUUAACACAUGCAAGUCGAACGAUGAAGCCGGAGCUUGCUCUGGUGAAUUAGUGGCGAACGGGUGAGUAACACGUGAGUAACCUGCCCUUGACUCUGGGAUAACUGCGGGAAACUGUAGCUAAUACCGGAUACGACCCUCGGAGGCAUCUCCUGGGGGUGGAAAGAAUUUCGGUCAAGGAUGGACUCGCGGCCUAUCAGCUAGUUGGUGAGGUAAAGGCUCACCAAGGCGACGACGGGUAGCCGGCCUGAGAGGGUGCCCGGCCACACUGGGACUAAGACACGGCCCAGACUCCUACGGGAGGCAGCAGUGGGGAAUAUUGCACAAUGGGCGCAAGCCUGAUGCAGCAACGCCGCGUGAGGGAUGACGGCCUUCGGGUUGUAAACCUCUUUUAGCAGGGAAGAAGCGAAAGUGACGGUACCCGCAGAAAAAGCACCGGCUAACUACGUGCCAGCCGCCGCAGUAA